AUUGAACGCUGGCGGCAGGCCUAACACAUGCAAGUCGAGCGGGGUUUUCGGACCUAGCGGCGGACGGGUGAGUAAUGCGUAGGAAGCUACCCGAUAGAGGGGGAUACCAGUUGGAAACGACUGUUAAUACCGCAUAAUGUCUACGGACCAAAGUGUGGGACCUUCGGGCCACAUGCUAUCGGAUGCGCCUACGUGGGAUUAGCUAGUUGGUGGGGUCAUGGCUCAACAGGGCGACGAUCCCCAGCUGGUUUGCGAGGAUGAUCAGCCACACUGGAACUGAGACCCGGUCCAGACUCCUACGGGAGGCAGCAGUGGGGAAUAUUGGACAAUGGGCGCAAGCCUGAUCCAGCCAUGCCGCGUGUGUGAAGAAGGCCUUCGGGUUGUAAAGCACUUUCAGUAGGGAGGAAGGGUGUUGUGUUAAUAGCACAGCAUUUUGACGUUACCUACAGAAGAAGCACCGGCUAACUCUGUGCCAGCCGCCGCCGUAAAAC
rnacentral:rRNA from 1 species